AGCAGAGGCUUCUGGGAGCUUAGAUGGCUGAAGCUGAUGAGGCUGUUUUCUCCGAUAAUUUGACAGGACUCACUCUCUCAAAAGCUCUAAUGAAAGACCCCAUUGGCUUUGUCCCGGCCCCAAACUGGAUACCUGGGAUAUUAGAGCAGUUAGAUCAGAGUCACCUGACCGAGAGCAAACCAGCAAACGAGAUGGACAGAGCCAUGGUGGCUUGAAGACUGGCUAAUGGAGAGUGCUCUGUGCAAAGCAAAGUCUGGUACACAGAGCUGCGGGGCCACCUCAUCUUAAGGAUGUGUGAGCAAGCACUUGGGAGAGGCUGAAGGCAAGAAUAUACUUUCUCUGCCUUCAUUUUCUCCUUCAACCCGGCGACUGCAGCAGAGAGAAAGCACUGCGUUCCAGACCAUAAGUUAGCAUGGCCCGCCCUGCCCUCACCCAUCCUGCAGGUCCCAUCACAUCUGCCUCCAGCCACCUGCCCUCUGCCGCAGCGCAGACCCAGUGCCCACACUUGCCCACACCUACCCACUCCGUGACGCUCCUUGUCAGUUUUGCGCCAGGGGGCCAUGGCAAGACCGGAGCCUUGAGAGCCUCCUGUUCUCUAGUGAAGAAGCUGGCUGGGGUGGUUAGGCGCCUUGCAGGGCCCCACUUCCUUCCUCUUUUUAAACUCUCUCUCUCUCAAGGUCCGCCUUCCCCUCCUCUGGGUCCCCACUCCCUCCUCCCCCUUCUUCUCCAGCAGGGGCACACACAGCCAAGGGCUAGAAGAUUGCCUUCAAAAUUUGGAGACCACCCUCAUUUGUCUCUUCCGGAGGAAAGUGGCUACAAGGCAUACAGGGAGAGGCACUAUUAGGAGGUGUGGCCUUGUUGGAGGAAGUGUGGCACUUUCAAGAUCUUCAUCCUAGCUGCCUGGAAGCCAGUCUUCUCCUAUUUGCCUUCAGAACAAGAUGUUGAACUCUCAGAUCCUCUAGCGCCAUGCCUGCUUGGGUGCUGCCAUGCUCUGACCUUGAUGAUAAUGGACUGAACCUCUGAACCUGGGCCUAUCAUGACUGCCCAGUGAGCAGCUGAAAAAAUCAAAUGUAGAUGUUUAUACCCAACCAAUGGACAGAAGCUGGUGACCCCUGUGGUUGAAUUACAGAAAAGCUGGAAGAA